GCGUCCUUAGUUCAGUUGGUAGAACGUCGGUCUCCAAAACCGAAUGUCAGGGGUUCGAGUCCUCUAGGGCGCG
rnacentral:tRNA from 1 species